AAGAAAGAAAGAAAGAAAGAAAGAAAUGAGGAGAGAAAAAGUGAAAGUGCCGUGAAAUCUGUUUUUGAAACUUUGAAAUACUCCCCUCACACUUUUUUUCCACGCUUCUUCCACAGAGCUUCUUUGCAUAAAAA
rnacentral:ribozyme from 1 species